AAUGCAUUAGAGCCAGUGCUAGUGGCUACAAACUGCGCACUCCAUGGAGUAAAACAAAGCACAAGUAUUGUAGAGGUCCCCAGAGAUGGGGAAAUCGGAGAGAUUGGGUUCCCUGUUGACAUGGAGGCAGGGGUUUGCUUGUCAUUGCAGAAGAUGGACAGACAAUGUGGGUGCCCUCUAGGAACAUGCGACUAUGGAGAAGUCCCCCCCUCGUGAGACAUCCAUGCUGGAGCUUGACUCCACUCUCCCCAUCAGUGAAAGCCUCUUCCCAGAUGACAACUGAAGAAAACUAUCAUCAAGGGCUGCCCAGAACACCUGACGGUCUUUUCGUUGCUAUGAUUGCUAUCAAACUUCUGUCACUUCCAACAACAUAUGAAACGGGCACAACCACACUUCACUUUAGCUGCUGCUAUUACAAAAAGGAAAGGGGGGAAAUAUAGGAUACCAGAUAAUGAGGAUUGAAGCCUAAUUGACUUUCUCUGCCAGCACAAAGGAAAAAAAAUAACAAGCUGUGCCUCCUUUGGCAAUAUUCAGGUAUGCUAGCAUGUUGCAAGUUCCAAAGAAGAGCCAAUACAGGUGAGAUCUGGAUGUUUACCUGGGUACAUGCUAUGAAUAACAAGAGGCAGAUGAAUCUUCUAUUGCUCUAAUUGCUCAUUCCCAUGUCUAAGUGAAUAAAAACAAGGUGAACCAAAUGCUCAGGGCUCUUUGUCCACUAGAUGCAAGAGCCUCCUGGUCCCCUCAUCUUAAAUUAUCUCUGUGUCUAUGUCUAAUCUCCAUUCACCCCCUGGUCAGGAAUUAACUCAUAGUCUGGCUCCUACAUGAAUGUACUAUUAGGAGGUGGAGCCUGGUUGGAGGUGGGUUACUAGGGGCAUGACCUGGAAGGGUGCAUUCCUGUCCCCAGGUCCUGUCUUAUUUCUCUGCUUCCUGGCUGUCAUAGGUUGAACAUCUUUCCUCUACCAUGCCCUUUCAUGAUGCCAUUUCUGCCUCUGAGCCUGCCGACCAUGGACUAAAACCAUGAGCCAAAUAAACCUCUCUUCCUUUAAGUUGUAUGAACAUUUUGUCCCAGUGACAAGGAGAUAAGUGAGACAGCAAGUCAAUAGGGGAAAGAAAACUUUUUUGAAUAUAUGGGCUGAAACAAUUGGAUACACACACACACACACACACACACACACUUCAAAACAGGGACCUGUCAAAAGUCAAAGAAAGGGCAGAGGAGGUGAGCCACUUCCAGCGCCCAAGAGGAGGCUUCCGGGCCGCCAUACCAAACCCCCCCUCCAAGUGCAGAGAAGGUGAGACAGCAGCACCCCCUCCCUUGCCCCUGUUGAAAUGAGAAGACAUGUAAACAAGUCUCAAAACCAGACUUCCAGAUCACCUAAAGCAACCCCAAAGGGAAACGAGAUGGAACACUCUGAAACUCAACCACCUGAACUCCCUGAAUUGGCAACAAAAGAGGAUCUGGAAAAUAUGAAAUCAGAAAUAAUUUCUCACAUAACAGCAGAGAUUCUGCCCAUACUGCAAGACAUGAUUAAUAAAUCUAGACAGGACACAGAUAAAAAAAUAGAGGAGCUGAGGAAUAUGAUGGAAUCCCAACAUAGGAAACAAAUGGAAUCCAUAAAACAGAUGCAAACAGAUAUCCAGGAGGUUAAAAACUCCAUUGAAAGUUUAUACAGCAGAAUGAGCCAAUGUGAGAAUAGAAUUUAGAAUAGAAUAGAUAUAGAAGAUAAGAUUGCAAAUAGUGACCAGGAAAACAAAAAUUGCUUUAAAAUAUUAAGGGACCACGAGAAAUCAAUCCAGCAGCUACUAGACAAUGUAAAGAAGAAUAACAUAAGACUGAUUGGAGUCAAUGAAGAAACAGGAGAGAGUGCUGAUGACAUAAAAAAAACUUCACAGAAGUGAUGGCAGAAAACUUCCCAAGGAGGGGAAAAGAAGUUGAAAUACAGAUAAGUGAGGCAUAUAGGACUCCAACUAGCCUUGAUCAAAAAAAAUCUACACAUAGGCAUAUAAUAGUUAAGAUUCCAGAAACCUAACAGAAGAACAAAAUUCUACAAGCAGAGAAAAGAAACAAAUCACAAACAGAGGAAAGCCCAUCAGAUUCACAGCAGACUUCUCAACACAAACCCUCAAGGCAAGAAGAGCUUGGAGUGACAUAUUUCAAGCCCUAAAGGAAAACAGCCUCCAACCCAGAUUGAUGUACUCUGCAAAACCAUCUUUCAAAAUUGAUGGAGAAAUAAGAUACUUUCAUGACAAAGAGCACCUUAGGAACUUCAUGAAUACCAAACCAGCACUCCAAAAAAUUUUAGACAAUAUCCUAGGAAAAGACAAGGAUCACAACUCCCAAAGCCCAGCAGUAUGAAUCUGUCAGGUGUGACAAGAAAUUAAACGCAAAGGGGGAGAAUUCAACAAAAAGAAAAAGUCAUGACAAUGAUAAGUUAAUGUGUAUCAGUUAUAACCAUCAAUGUUAAUGGUCUCAAUUCACCAAUCAAAAGAAACAGACUGGCAGAAUGG
rnacentral:lncRNA from 1 species